CAGCAUUCUUAGAUCAUUCUCAGAUUCUGAGGAGGAGGAAAAGGAGUUGGCAGAUAGCCCUGAACUGUCAAGGUUUUCAAACAAGAUAACUCAGAUGCAUGAGCCACCCUGAUGGUUGGAGUCAAGACCUUUGAAGGACGGACAGAUGGAAGGAAGGAAUUGUUUCUGUUUGGAUUCAGCUCUUCAUAUGGAUGAUAGCUAGUGCCACUUAUAAUAGAGAAUAGUUAAUUUGAUUUGUGCUGCUUGUGAACCAGUUGAUCUCCAAUAAAUGAGUUUGAUUGUAAA